ACAGACAAGGCACGGGUGGUGGGUCACCAAAGGCUGACCUUACCCCAGCAGAGGACAUGGCCUUGGAGCUAAAUAAAGGCAGGCCCGUCUUAGAGGGGAUCCCUGGGGGGAAAGAGACGAGCAUAGGUUCCUCCCAAGAUGCCACCCGCUUCAUUCAAGUGUCUGGCAGCACUGUGUUCCUGUUAGAGCCACCAGCACAAGCACCAGACGAUGCUGAUCCAGGUGAAGGCCCCAGUGCAGCAGCAACAGCACAUGAUGGAGACGAUGAUGAAGAGGAGACAUCUCUCUGGAUUCCAGAAGGCAUGAGGACCCAGAUGCUAUACAGUGGGAAAACCAGCCUGGCAACAUAGUGCGUAUUAAUAAAAGGACACCACAUCCUGCCAAAUUCCAGCUGCGCUAAUUGUAUUGUGUUCACAGAGCUCACAAGCUAUCAGAAAGUUGUAUGGCAACCACCUCCGGCGCCAAAUAGAACUGGCAGACAUAGACAUUCAGUACAAGAAGAAAAAGAUGGAAAAUCUUGCACUGGAGUCCGAAAUAAAAAAGAGGACAAUUAGGAAACUGGACCUUGAAAUAAAAAAACUUGAGAGGGAGCUCCAAGAAGAUGAGACAGCUCAAAAUAAAAAUUAGGUAUAUUCUCGUAAAGUCAAGUGAGCCAUGACAUAGAGCUCUUAUUGUGAGCACACAGGACGGUGGCAUCUUUCUAAGGUUUUUUUUAUUUUCCCAGCAAUCAGUACAACAAAGUCAUCGUUAUAAGGCAUCGCCCUCUUUUGCCCACCCCCCCAGCACCAGGUGUGGCCACUAGCCUAUAUGAAGGCCCAAAAUUGUGUGUUCCUUUCUGCUCUGACAAUGGCAUGCCCAUUCGUGCGAGAUGUGGUGGAUGAAGAAGCACUUGUGCUGAGGAGAGCCUUCAGGCGAGAAAGGGUCUUCAGGGACCGGUUGGACCCACUGGCCUUCCCUGAUGACCAUCUAUAUGAAAGAUACAGGUUUUCUGCAGAUGGCAUCAGGUAUCUAUGUAGACUACUGGGUCCCAGGAUUAAGCACCGCACUGCACGGAGCCAUGCACUGAGUGUGGAGCAAAUGGUUUGUGUGGCCUUGCGCUUUUUUGCUAGUGGAGCCUUCCUGUACUCAGUGGGGGAUGCAGAACAGCUGAACAAGGCCACAAUUUGCCGCACAAUAAGGAGUGUGUGUCUGGCUAUCAAAGCAUUAGCAGAUGUCUUCAUCUCCUUCCCUGGCCACAGAAGACUCUGUGACAUCAAAGAGGAGUUCUAUAGGAUUGCAGGUAAGAGGAUCUACAAAUUACAGGACAACUGUUAACACAUAGUAGGAUACUCAUUACUUUGUGUGACAGGUUUCCCCAAUGUCAUUGGUGCAGUGGACUGCACACACAUAAGGUUAAAAGCCCCCUCAGGUGCCCAUGAGGCCGAUUUUGUGAAUAGGAAAUCCUUUCACAGCAUUAAUGUUCAGGUGAACAUAACUUUUUGAUAUUGUCCAUUGACGAACACUCUGCAUUGCCAGUGAUGUGCAUUGAUUGGUGUAAUAUUCCUCAUCUUAUGAUUUCAGAUGGUCUGCAAUGCUGACUGUGUGAUCAGCAAUGUUGUGGCAAAAUGGCCUGGCUCAGUCCAUGACUCCAGAAUCUUUCGGGCCUCUGAAAUCUAUCAGUGCCUA